CUUGAAAAUUGAUUAUAGUGGGUUUAAUAUCUGUUGAGAUUCAUUUACAAGACCCGGAAUCAAGCGUAAGUAAUGAAAUCCAUCAGCUACCACGAAAAUUGUAACAUGGAUUGGACAGCAGGUGAGCAAAAAAAAAAAAGCCCUAAAAAUUACAGAAUACAAAACAAACACACAACGUUUGCAUGACACCAAGAAAGUGAUAGUGUUGUUGCUC
rnacentral:misc_RNA from 1 species